AGGAGCCGUACGAGGUGAAAAUCUCAUGUACGGUUCUGUAAUAAAGAUGGAAUUGAAAAAAAAAAACUAUCAAUUAUAAC
rnacentral:ncRNA from 1 species